CGCCUUUUGAAAUUCAAACAUGAAAGGUCUCGCCUGCCCAGUGACAUAUUCAACGGCCGCGGUAUUAUGACCGUGCAAAGGUAGCGUAAUCACUUGUUUCUUAAAUAGAGACCGGUAUGAACGGCGAAACGAGGGCCUGACUGUCUCACUAAAUUAGUCAGUGAAAUUGAUUUUCCCGUGCAGAAGCGGGAAUAAUAGUAUAAGACGAGAAGACCCUGUGGAGCUUUAGACCUAAGCUAACAUAUACACAUAGCAGCCUGUUUUAGGUUGGGGCGACCAAGAGGUAAAAUGAACCCUCGAGACUACAAGCAAGAAGGACACUUCCAACAAUAAUAUAAUUAACUUUUGACCCAAUAAUUUUGAUCAACGAACCAAGUUACCCCAGGGAUAACAGCGCAAUCCUCUCAUAGAGCCCAUAUCGACGAGCGGGUUUACGACCUCGAUGUUGGAUCAGGGCCCCCAAACGGCGCAACCGCUGUUAAAGGUUCGUUUGUUCAACGAUUAAAGCCCU
rnacentral:rRNA from 1 species